AGCGGGCAGCAGGGCACCGGGGCGGGCUCGUGAGCCCGUCGUGCGCUCAGGCCCGCCGGCGCGGCCAUCUUGCCGUACGGAUGCCCCCCAUGCGCCAUGUCGCCGCAGGGCGAUGCCGGCCCGGGGCGCCCCCGCCCACCCUAGACGCCGCGAGCCACGGGCUGCGCCCCGCCAGGUGCCGGGUAUCCAGGGCGCGCCGAGGACCGGGCCUGGCGGCCGGGCGGCGGGCGGCCGGGCGCCGCCAUCUUGCCGUACGGCGGGAGCCGCGGGGCUGGCUCCCACGUCCCGCAGCCGUGUCGCCGCGCGCCCUCCCCUCGGGGCGGUCCCGCCCGGGGCUCGGCGCGGCGAGACGAGGGCCGGAGCCAGGCGGCGGCGCGGCGGCCCGAGGCCCGAGAUGGUGAUCUGCUGCGCGGCCGCGAACUGCUCCAACCGGCAGGGCAAGGGGGAAAAGCGCGCCGUCUCCUUCCGCAGAUUCCCCCUGAAGGACUCAAAACGUCUGAUCCAGUGGUUGAAGGCUGUUCAGAGGGAUAACUGGACGCCCACUAAGUAUUCUUUCCUCUGUAGUGAACAUUUCACCAAAGAUAGCUUCUCCAAGAGACUGGAGGACCAGCACCGCCUGCUCAAGCCCACGGCCGUGCCGUCCAUCUUCCACCUGGCUGAGAAGAAAAGGGGGGCCGGAGGCCAUGGCCGCCCCCGGAGAAAGGACACCAGGAAGGCCUCGGGGGGUCUGAGGGCACAUGCAAGUGACAUUGCCGACGGGAGGGCAGCUGCAGGGUCGUCGUCGUCGUGCUCGAGUGGAAGCCUAAUGGCCAAGGCCGAGUCCCGCAAGCUGACGCGGGGCGCGUCACAGGGCAGACCCGCAGCCAGGGCUACCCGGGAGGCCGCCGGUCUGCAGCGGGCCCGACAGCCUCCGGAAGGACACGGAGAUGACGGUCCGGCCUCCGCCACCGCGUCCGGCGGCCAGGGAGAAGCCAACACUUGUGCUGUGGAUGCCGGCGACGAGAACGCCACCUCCCCGGACGGGGGCCUGGUGGACAGGAGCGGCAUUUCCGUGGAUGACUUUACCCCCCCGGGGUCGGGGGCCUGCAAGUUCAUUGGCUCGCUUCAUUCCUACAGUUUCUCCUCCAAGCAUGCCCGCGAGAGGCCGGCCGUCCCCCGGGAGCCCGUGGACCGCAAGAGGCCGAAGAGAGACGCCGAGCCCGGCUGCAGCGGGAGCAGCCCGGGGCCCGAUAAGGGGCCGGCGCAGAGCCCGCCACGCGCGCCCCCCACGGCGAGCUCAUCGCUCACAGCCACGCCGCAGAAGCCCGCGCAGGGCCCCUCGGCACCUCCGACCGACGUGACCCCGAAGCCGGCGGCCGAGGCCGUGCAGAGCGAGCACAGCGACGCCAGCCCCAUGUCCAUCAACGAGGUCAUCCUGUCGGCGUCAGGAGCCUGCAAGCUUAUCGACUCGCUGCACUCCUACUGCUUCUCCUCCCGCCAGAGCAAGAGCCAGGUGUGCUGCCUGCAGGAGCAGGUGGAGAAGAAGAACGGCGAGCUGAGGGCCCUGCGCCAGAGGGUCAGCCGCUCGGACAGCCAGGUGCGCGAGCUGCGGGAGAAGCUGGACCGGCUGCGGCGGCUGAGCCUCCCCCACCUGAGCAGCCUGCUGGCCCCGGGCCGCGGUUGCAAUUACCACUGCAGAGGCCCCCAGAAUGAACCCUGUGCUGGAGCCGCUGUCCUGGAUGCUGGGCACAUGGCUGUCAGACCCGCCGGGAGCUGGGACCUUCCCGACCCUGCAGCCCUUCCAGUACCUGGAGGAGGUGCACAUCUCGCACGUGGGCCAGCCCAUGCUGAACUUCUCGUUCAACGCCUUCCAUCCGGACACCCACAAGCCCAUGCACAGGGAGUGUGGCUUCAUCCGCCUGGAGCCCGACACCAACAAGGUGGCCUUCGUCAGCGCCCAGAACACAGGCAUCGUGGAGGUGGAGGAGGGCGAGGUGAACGGGCAGGAGCUGUGCAUCGCGUCCCACUCCAUUGCCAGGACCUCCUUCGCCAAGGAGCCCCACGUGGAGCAGACUUUGGCACACAGAAGCAGAGCCGAAGGGCGAGGGAGCGGCCGCCCUUGGGUCAGCACACGGUGAAAUGGGCUGUGUCCUCGUGGCGUGGCCCGCAGCCCCUGUGGCAUCGCGGAGGCGGGACGGGGGAUGCAAGGCCACGCGAGAAGCCAGAUUACCCGAAAAUUCAGGCUGAAUUCCGAAGGCAAACUUGAACAGACGGUCUCCAUGGCAACCACUACGCAGCCCAUGACUCAGCAUCUGCAUGUCACCUACAAGAAGGUGACCCCAUGACCCCAGUUUUGACAAGAUCUGAAAAGUUUAUAAAUCUACGGUAGUCACAGCAACAAGGUGAAGAGAAGGCAGGACAAAGAGAAUUGCAGCGAAUUUUCCUUUACUCUUAAAGAGCUGAGAGUGUAACGACCCCACUUCCGUGUGGACGAAGGGCAUUCCCAAGGCGAGAGGGUGGUGGUGAAUUUAUCAUCAUUCUGUAAAUUUGAUUUAGUCUCGGCAAUAUAAUAUUACCUUCAUUUGUUUGUUUACGAUGGAAGUUUCCAGACAUACACUGACCCCCUGGACCUCACCCCGUUCCAGCUCCUGCCAGCAUGUCCCCACACCGGUGGUUCCGUCUGCUCUUCCCCCUUUUUGUGGCUGGAGCAUCUUAAAGCGAAUUCCACACACAGUGUCCCUUCUCUCGAACACUUCAGCAUGUGUGUAAAAGCAAAACAGAGCCUUUCUCUUUUCCUGAACACAGCACAGCAUCAGGGGCCUCACCGGGAACAUAGACACGGGGUGAAAGGAGGCCGUGCUCAAGAGCAGGGGUCAGUGUCUGCAGCCACACACCCCCUUGUCACACACCCUGGGGACAAAAGGCACUACCGGGGUGGGGGGGUUGUCAGUACCUGGGAGCGCAGAGGAGGGACCGGGGCUGGUGCCGAGCCCUCAGAGGAGCGUGGCCGGAGUGUGAGGAAGGCGGCCGGCCCCCUGCGUGCAGGGUGGACGUGGUGGCUGGGCUGGGCUCGCCGAGAGCGUCAGGUCAGCAGAGACUCAGGCCCAGUUCGUCCCUCCAGCUGCGAACCUGGGAAACCAGACAAGUUAUUGGCCUCCGAAAGUCAACGACGGGAGAGGAAUGGAUGGACACUCCCUUUCCAAAAGGUAGAAAUAGGAAAGAAGGCGGCGUGACAGGUCCUGAGCAAGUCCCAAACCUUAAGGCUUAAGAGGAACGAUCCUCUGUGGCUCAGUGUCUGUCCUCCGGGCCCCCCUGGGAUGGUCCGGGCCCCCCUGGGGUGGUGCUGCCCCCCCACCCCCAGCUUUGCCGGGUACAGCGCUCACCACGGUUCUCAGGGGUUGGAGUCGUGUGCCUGCGGCUCUCCCCAGGUUCUGCCCACCCCGGGGUCGCCCUAGCGGGGGCUCUGCACCCCUUGCAGGCUGUGGGUCUCUGCCUGGGUCAUGAGCCUGAGGCUCCAGGUGGCUCCAUCCUUCAAAAUUGAGGGAAGGUAGCAAGGCCCCCAGGGCUCUGCAUUCUGCGUGCUGGCAGAGAUGGUACCUUGUGGAAGCCAAAAACCGAUUCCAGCCAAGUUUGCAGCUGUGCCCUCCAGUGGGGCAGCCACGUCUGCUGUGGCCCAGGAAUGUGGGGAGCAGAGCCUUAUCCUCUGGGCCUGGGAUGGAAGGGUCACCCGCACAAUCUCUGAAAUGCCUUUGAAGACAUUCUUCCAUUGUCUGGACUUUAGGCUUCUGUUUAGGUGGCUGCCUGGUCUCCCAUCAUGUGGGUAACUAGCUCGUAACUGAUGAGUACUAACCUCCGUGUCAAGUCCUCCCAAGCGUCAUGAUCUGUCUCAGCAAGCUUUCUUACUACUUUCAAUAUCAAUAGGCUGAGGAUUUUCCACAUUUUUAAGGUCUGCUUCCUUUUUGGUUAACAAUUCUGUCCUUAAGUCUUCUUGCAUUUUACUCUAAGUAUUCAAGAGAAACAAGGCCCCUCAUGCUUCAACACUUUCACUUUGCUUGGAAAUUUCCAGGCACAUAACCAAUUUCAUUGCUCACAAGUUCUACCUUCCACAAAACUAGGACACAUAGUUUAGCCAAGCUCUCUGUCCCGUCUUAACAAAGGUUGCCUUUCCUCCAGUUUCCAAUGACCUCCAUUUCCAUCUGAGAUCUCAGCAGACUGGCCUUUACACCUGUGAAAAUUAGUAAAGGGAAACCUCGCGGAACUGGAGUGGGGAGGGAAUUCCCUGGUGGUCCAGUGGUUAGGACUCUGAGGUCUCACUGCCAAGGGCCUGAGUUCAAUCCCUGGCCGAGGAACUAAGAUCCCACAAGCCACGCAGCACGGCCAAAAACAAAAAACAAAAAAUAAUGGAGUGGGGAGGCCACAAGGGGGAGCGCUCACCAGCUCCACUGGAUGUCAGCACAGAUCCUGACAGGAGGAGGCCACCUGGCCUCUUAGGCCAGAAGCCCUUUACCACCCUCAGGAGGAAGGAGGAUUUUCUCCCCGUCAGGCAACAGCCCAGCCAAUGAGAAACUGUCACAGCUCAGCCAAUGAAAAGCCACCACACUUCAGACCCCCAUUUUCCUCCAAUGGACUUUUUUGCUUAUAACAGCCCCUCCCACCUUACCUUUUCCUCUAUAAAAGAAUUUCCUCUCCUUUGACCUACUGGACUUGCCUGUGGACUUGUGCCACGGUUACCUGUCCUGAAACACAAAUCUUUGCUGCUCCUUAAUAAACCCAUUUUCUUGGUAAAAA